rnacentral:lncRNA from 1 species
AACAUGAGUGAAAUAUAGAAUAUGGAAAAAUCAAGUACAUACAGUGUAAGAAAAUUCUCAAGUGUAAAUUUUGGUAUAAAUGAUUUAGGGUUGAGCUUUUUCUCUCCCUCUAUCCCCCCCGCCACAUUUUACACAUUCUAUGUACACUUAAGAUUAAUCAUUAAAUAUAGGUGGAUUAAUGUCUAGUAGUUUUAUAUUACUUGAAAAAUACUUAGUGACCUUAAAAAAUUUAUCUUCACUUUGCGGGGAAAUGAUGAUAUCUCCAUAUAAUGCUAUGAAAGAAUAUAGAAACAUGUUCACAAAAUACUAAGUGCAAAGAUUAUAAAAUGGCAGUACCAUUUUCAAAACCAGCGUAUGUGUAUGUACGUAGCACAGUAUGGGAAGGUAUCCAUCCCCCACUGUAUGACAGCUCCACUGCUCACUCUAGAUGGUAAAAUGCUGAAAGGCUUCUACUUCCUUUUUGCUUUUCUGUGUUUUCCUUUUAUGUGAUUGUCUCUGGGAAAACACAUUUCACAUUCCUUAACCAAAAAGCAGCACUUUGUGG